rnacentral:rRNA from 1 species
GAUGAACGCUGGCGGCGUGCCUAAUACAUGCAAGUCGAGCGAACGGACGAGAAGCUUGCUUCUCUGAUGUUAGCGGCGGACGGGUGAGUAACACGUGGAUAACCUACCUAUAAGACUGGGAUAACUUCGGGAAACCGGAGCUAAUACCGGAUAAUAUUUUGAACCGCAUGGUUCAAAAGUGAAAGACGGUCUUGCUGUCACUUAUAGAUGGAUCCGCGCUGCAUUAGCUAGUUGGUAAGGUAACGGGUUACCAAGGCAACGAUGCAUAGCCGACCUGAGAGAGUGAUCGGCCACACUGGAACGGAGACACGGUCCAGACUCCUACGGGAGGCAGCAGUAGGGAAUCUUCCGCAAUGGGCGAAAGCCUGACGGAGCAACGCCGCGUGAGUGAUGAAGGUCUUCGGAUCGUAAAACUCUGUUAUUAGGGAAGAACAUAUGUGUAAGUAACUGUGCACAUCUUGACGGUACCUAAUCAGAAAGCCACGGCUAACUACGUG